UUUUUUUUUUUUUUUUUUUUUUUUUUGGUCAAACGGAUUGGACAGCCCCCAAUCCUAGGCAUUACACCCAUGUUUCACACACCCACACAACACACUCACACACACUACCAUGGGUACUAUGGGUUCUUUAAACCACAACCAGCCUCAGCUGGGAUUUGAACCCGGUGCACCUUAGAGCAAGGCAAAUAUAAUUGCCACUCAACCAAGCCUUGCGGUGCUAACUAUUAGUGUUUAAUUGGGCAGUGAAAGAAUUUGGGCCUGAUUUAAUAAGCCCAAUAGAUCAAUAGCCAGAAAAACGCAAGGGCCCAAUGUAGCACCAUAUUUCUCAGUCAUCAGUCAUCACUAAUCACCUCAUGAUUUUAUUUUUAGUAUUAUAAUUUGCAGAGAGACACUGAUAUUUUUUGCGGUCUCUGCAAAGAAAAGAAAAUAAAGAGACAAGAGAAGAGAAGAGAAAAGAGAAGACGAGGUUGUUUUGUUUUGUUGUGUUUCGUGGCAUUCAUGGAAACCUUGGCUACACCUUCCUCUGCAACUCUUCCAUCUCCUUCUUCCCCUUUCUCCAUCUUCCCCUCAACAAGAAGAUUCUCCCUUUCUCCCAAAUCCCUCCACUUUCGUUUAUCUUCCAAGCGUUCGUACUCCUAUUCUUCUUCUAUUCACUUUCCACCAUAAUCAUUUUUCGAUUUCAUCAUCAAUCUUUCAAAUUCAUUCUCUGUUUUUUCAGGUGAUGACGACCAUGAUUCAAACUCCCAAUCCAAUUCCAUGGAAAUCAACAACGACAACUCCAACGCCAACCUCCUCCCAGUUCUCAGCGAUCGCCGCCUCUCCCUUUCUCCGCUCUCGAAAGUAUGUGCCUUUUUCAUUCCCUUUCCUUCUUAAUUUUUAAGCUUCGAUGUAAUUUUGCUCUUCAAAUUUAAAUAUCUCGAAUUUUAUUAGAGUAUCUGUAUUAUAGUUCUGUUGGGUCAUGAAAAAAAAAGAAGCUCAAUUUUUGUUAUUUCAAUGUGUUUCUGAACCUAAAUGCCUAACCUUUUGCAAUAUGGAUAAAAACAUAUCUGUUUUUAAAGUUUUUUGCCCUGAAAACAUUAAAAAGAAUUCAAUUUUGAUUGAGAAUUGUUGUGGGUUUAGGAUGCUGCUAUGGGAUUGGUACUAAGUGCUGCUGCUGGUAGAGGAUGGACAACAGGGUCAGGGAUGGAAGGGCCCUCUGUUCCUGCAGUUGGCCACGACGGCGAAUCAGGAACCGGGAACAUCUCCACUUUCCCAUGGUCUCUCUUCACAAAAUCGCCUCGGCGAAGAAUGCUCGUGGCUUUUACAUGCACCAUCUGUGGCCAGCGAACUACAAGGGCUAUCAAUCCUCAUGCUUACACUGAUGGAACUGUGUUUGUGCAGGUAAUUUGGGAAAUGGAUCCUCUCAAUAUUUUUUAACAAUUGAGGGAGUAAAGUGUAAUCUCUCACUAUUAAUUUUAUAAGUGAGAGCAAGAAAAAACAUGAGAGAGAAAGCAAUAAAGAAUUAGAAAUCACACUUUAUUCUCUCAAUUUUUUUUUAAUAAUUGAGAGGAUCCAUUACGGGUAAUUUGCCUCUCAAUUCUGGAUCUCUAUUCGGAAAAAUUUGAAAAAAAUGGUACAUUAAAUUGGUGACAAUUUCUUUUUUAUCUUUGGUUUCUGAAAUUGUUGGCAGUGCUGUGGAUGCAAUGCAUAUCAUAAGCUGGUGGAUCACUUGAACUUAUUUCAGGAGACGAAUUGUUAUCUGAAUUCAAGUUUCAAUUAUAAAGGACAUGGUUGGGAUGAUCUCAAGUUUAGGUUUAUGGACAUAGAUGAAGACAAUGAUGAUGACAUAUUCCCCAUUUCAUGAGUGAAUUGGCUGCUUAUGGCUAUGGGGUCACCACAUAUUCUCCGGUCUGAUGAUAUCAUCAUAUGGAAUUUUAGUUUAGGUGUCUUUGUAUAUUGUUUAGUUUUUCAUGCAUUAUAGUAAAAUUUGUUGGAGACAGGAUCUUUCAACAAUGUCCAUAAUAUAGUUAUGAAGGUCAUCUGUAUAAUCAUCAAUGGUUUAUUUACGUACAAUUCAUUACAUGCCACUCAACCAAGCCUUGCGGUGCUAACUAUUAGUGUUUAAUUGGGCAGUGAAAGAAUUUGGGCCUGAUUUAAUAAGCCCAAUAGAUCAAUAGCCAGAAAAACGCAAGGGCCCAAUGUAGCACCAUAUUUCUCAGUCAUCAGUCAUCACUAAUCACCUCAUGAUUUUAUUUUUAGUAUUAUAAUUUGCAG
rnacentral:lncRNA from 1 species